CGCAGCCGCGGUAAUUCCAGCUCCAAUAGCGUAUAUUAAAGUUGUUGCAGUUAAAAAGCUCGUAGUUGAAUUUCGGGAUCAAUACGUCGGUCGUACCUCGGUACGUACUAACGUCAUUGAUUUCUCCCUUCUGAUGAACCAUGAUGCCAUUAAUUUGGUGUUUUGGGGAAUUUGGACUGUUACUUUGAAAAAAUUAGAGUGUUUAAAGCAGGCUCACGCUUGAAUACAUUAGCAUGGAAUAAUGAAAUAGGACGUUUGAUUCUAUUUUGUUGGUUUCUAGGAUCGACGUAAUGAUUAAUAGGGAUAGUUGGGGGCAUUAGUAUUCAAUUGUCAGAGGUGAAAUUCUUGGAUUUAUUGAAGACUAACUACUGCGAAAGCAUUUGCCAAGGAUGUUUUCAUUAAUCAAGAACGAAAGUUAGGGGAUCGAAGACGAUCAGAUACCGUCGUAGUCUUAACCNUAAACUAUGCCGACUAGGGAUCGGAUGAUGUUAAUUUUUUAAUGACUCAUUCGGCGCCUUAC
rnacentral:rRNA from 1 species